rnacentral:rRNA from 1 species
ACUCCUACGGGAGGCAGCAGUGGGGAAUAUUGCACAAUGGGCGAAAAGCCUGAUGCAGCGACGCCGCGUGAGGGAUGACGGCCUUCGGGUUGUAAACCUCUUUCAGCAGGGAAGAAGCCCACAAGUGACGGUACAUGCAGAAGAAGCCGCCGGCUAACUACGUGCCAGCAGCCCGCGGUAAUACGUAGGGCGCAAGCGUUGUCCGGAAUUAUUGGGCGUAAAGAGCUCGUAGGCGGUUUGUCGCGUCUGCUGUGAAAGCCCGGGGCUUAACCCCGGGUGUGCAGUGGGUACGGGCAGACUAGAGUGCAGUAGGGGAGACUGGAAUUCCUGGUGUAGCGGUGGAAUGCGCAGAUAUCAGGAGGAACACCGAUGGCGAAGGCAGGUCUCUGGGCUGUUACUGACGCUGAGGAGCGAAAGCAUGGGGAGCGAACAGGAUUAGAUACCCUGGUAGUCCAUGCCGUAAACGUUGGGCACUAGGUGUGGGGGACAUUCCACGUUUUCCGCGCCGUAGCUAACGCAUUAAGUGCCCCGCCUGGGGAGUACGGCCGCAAGGCUAAAACUCAAAGGAAUUGACGGGGGCCCGCACAAGCGGCGGAGCAUGCGGAUUAAUUCGAUGCAACGCGAAGAACCUUACCAAGGCUUGACAUAUACCGGAUCGUUCCAGAGAUGGUUCUUCCCCUUUGGGGUCGGUAUACAGGUGGUGCAUGGUUGUCGUCAGCUCGUGUCGUGAGAUGUUGGGUUAAGUCCCGCAACGAGCGCAACCCUCGUUCCAUGUUGCCAGCACGUGAUGGUGGGGACUCAUGGGAGACUGCCGGGGUCAACUCGGAGGAAGGUGGGGAUGACGUCAAAUCAUCAUGCCCCUUAUGUCUUGGGCUUCACGCAUGCUACAAUGGCCGGUACAAAGGGUUGCGAUACUGUGAGGUGGAGCUAAUCCCAAAAAGCCGGUCUCAGUUCGGAUUGAGGUCUGCAACUCGACCUCAUGAAGUCGGAGUCGCUAGUAAUCGCAGAUCAGCAACGCU